rnacentral:misc_RNA from 1 species
AGCCCGUGGAAAUGAAAGUUUACAUUAUGCUUAAAAUGGAGUUUCUCCGAUGAAAGAAACUCAAUCACUCCAAAUAGAAAAUUGUGAAAAUAGGAAUCACCAUUAUACCAUUUAUUCAAUUGUCCAGAGCGCUAGUAAAACUUGGAAAAGUUCAACCAUUUUCUUGUAGAAAGUCUCAAUUGAAAUGGUGAAAUCCAUGUAUACAAUAGGAUGAGAAGACGAUAAUGAAGAUACACACAAUUAAAGAAUUCAUAAUAGGGUAUCAUUAUUCUGGGAUUUUUUUUUUCCUCUCGUAUUACAAAUUGAGUUAUUGCCUAAUUUGCUUUACUGCAAUACAAUGAACAAAAGGAUUAUUUUUCUAUCAAACACGAAUGUAUUUGUAGCAUGGGCUAAGCUGCCAAUUG